GACCAACUAAGUUUGUUAUGGGUAUGAGCUUUCGUGUGCAUGCACACUUCUUCAGAUACACAGUGUGCAUGCACAUGAAAGCUCAUACCCAUAACAAAUUUAGUUGGUC